rnacentral:rRNA from 1 species
UACGAAGGGGGCUAGCGUUGCUCGGAAUCACUGGGCGUAAAGCGCACGUAGGCGGAUUGUUAAGUCAGGGGUGAAAUCCUGGAGCUCAACUCCAGAACUGCCUUUGAUACUGGCGAUCUUGAGUCCGGGAGUGGUGAGUGGAACUGCGAGUGUAGAGGUGAAAUUCGUAGAUAUUCGCAAGAACACCAGUGGCGAAGGCGGCUCACUGGCCCGGUACUGACGCUGAGGUGCGAAAGCGUGGGGAGCAAACAGG